rnacentral:rRNA from 1 species
CUGUCUCUACUAUACAAAUAAAAACUAGACUCUAAGUGAAAAUACUUAAAUAAAAAUAAAGGACAAAAAGACCCUAUAGAGCUGUAUUUAUAAAAACACAUAAAGUACUAUAUACUUAACACAUUUUAUAAUAAAUUUUGUUGGGGCGACAUAGGAAUAUUAAAAUCUUCCUUAAAUAUAAAGAAAACAAUUCUUACAAAAGAUCCUAAAAAGAUCAAAGGAAAAAGCUACCUUAGGGAUAACAGACUAAUCUCCUUA